rnacentral:rRNA from 1 species
UCGACGAGGUCCAUGUAGUGGCAACACUGCGGAAGACCUAGUGGCGAACGGGUGAGUAACACGUGAGGAACUUGCCCCGGAGACCGGGAUAACCCUCCGAAAGGAGAGCUAAUACCGGAUGUCCUCACCGAAUCGCAUGGUUUGGUGAGGAAAUGGAUUCCGCUCCGGGAGAGCCUCGCGGCCUAUCAGCUAGUUGGUGGGGUAACGGCCCACCAAGGCGUCGACGGGUAGCUGGUCUGAGAGGACGAUCAGCCACACUGGGACUGAGACACGGCCCAGACUCCUACGGGAGGCAGCAGUGGGGAAUCUUGCGCAAUGGGCGAAAGCCUGACGCAGCAACGCCGCGUGCGGGAUGAAGGCCCUCGGGUUGUAAACCGCUUUCAGUGGGGACGAACCAAGACGGUACCCACAGAAGAAGCCCCGGCCAACUACGUGCCAGCAGCCGCGGUAACACGUAGGGGGCAAGCGUUGUCCGGAUUUAUUGGGCGUAAAGAGCUCGUAGGUGGUUCAGUAAGUCGGGUGUGAAACCUCCAGGCUCAACCUGGAGACGCCACCCGAUACUGCUGUGACUAGAGUCCAGUAGGGGAGCAUGGAAUUCCUGGUGUAGCGGUGAAAUGCGCAGAUAUCAGGAGGAACACCAGUGGCGAA